UACGUAGGGGGCUAGCGUUGUCCGGAAUCAUUGGGCGUAAAGAGCGUGUAGGCGGUCCGGUAAGUCCGCUGUGAAAGUCGGGGGGCUCAACCCUCGAAUGCCGGUGGAUACUGUCGGGCUAGAGUGCGGAAGAGGCGAGUGGAAUUCCUGGUGUAGCGGUGAAAUGCGCAGAUAUCAGGAGGAACACCAAUGGCGAAGGCAGCUCGCUGGAACGGUACUGACGCUGAGGCGCGAAAGGCGUGGGGAGCGAACAGG
rnacentral:rRNA from 1 species